AAUAGAUGACGCCGUUGAUUUUUUCUUACAUGUUUGACCAUUCGUCUUAUUCAAAAACAACAUUUUUGUUAUGAGUUGUUUUAUCAUCCAUAGUACUUUAAGUGUGAUUUAUAUCUUAUACAUUUAUAUAAAGUUUUUGAAUAAGACGAAUGGUCAAACAUGUGAGAAAAAGUCAACGGCGUCAUCUAUU
rfam:Oryza rufipogon genomic scaffold, chr09